GCCGGGGUGGCGGAAUAGGCAGACGCAAGGGACUUAAAAUCCCUCGGGCCUGAAGUCCGUGCGGGUUCGAGUCCCGCCCUCGGCACCA
rnacentral:tRNA from 1 species